GCUCAUGUAGUUUAAUUCCGGAUUAUUCAAUAUAAAGGUUGUUAUAUUUAGUUGGAAUCAUAAUCCUAACAUAAGGUUCUUAACAGUAAACUCUAGCUUUUGAAUACAUGUAUUCACAUUUUAAUAUUUGUUCAAAUUUUGGUGUUUAAUGACAUGUAUAUCUAUGUUCAGUGUCGAACAUAGUGGUUUCAACCUCUGGUCAUGUAUAGGAGAAGAAGAGACUUACCUGAGGGAUAUCUCGGGGAGGUGUAGGAUGAGGGAAAAUGGGUUGCCAUCUGUUCAGUUGCUGUGCUCAGGUUCAUGUGAAUUAGAAUCAUGCCACUGUUCAGGACUCCAAUUCUCAUUUGGUGUAAAAUUAUAAGGCCUCAUGAUUCCACUAUUUCCUCUUGAUCACUAAUUCUUUGUACUUGUAUGCUCUUCGUGUGUUCUUUUCUUCUUUAGUUUUGUAUUUUUGGGACAACUGGGAGGGGAAUUAGAAACUAUAGCUUAAGAAGC
rnacentral:lncRNA from 1 species